GACGUAGGGUCCAAGCGUUGUCCGGAUUUACUGGGCGUAAAGAGCGCGUAGGCGGUCCGUUAAGUGUAGAGUGAAAGCUCCGGGCUCAACUCGGAAAUUGCUCUGCAUACUGGCGGACUCGAGGACGGAAGAGGUUUGUGGAAUUCCUGGUGUAGCGGUGAAAUGCGUAGAUAUCAGGAGGAACACCCAUGGCGAAGGCAGCUCUCUGGGACGGUACUGACGCUGAGACGCGAAAGCGUGGGGAGCGAACAGG
rnacentral:rRNA from 1 species